rnacentral:rRNA from 1 species
UGGACCUCAGAUCAGGCAAGAUUACCCGCUGAGUUUAAGCAUAUCAAUAGGCCGGGAGGAA